GUAUGGGUGGUUCGGUGGUAGAAUUCUUGCCUUCCAUUCAAGAGACCUGAGUUCAAUUCCUGGCCAAUGCA
rnacentral:tRNA from 1 species